rnacentral:tRNA from 3 species
GUUAAUGUAGCUUAACUCAAAGCAUGGCACUGAAGAUGCCAAGAUGGGCCGUGAAAAGCCCCAAUAACA